rnacentral:rRNA from 1 species
GAACGAGAAAGCGGGCUUCGGCCCGUCAGUACAGUGGCAGACGGGUGAGUAACACGUGGGUAACCUACCCGGAGGUGGGGGAUAACCCUUCGAAAGGAGGGCUAAUACCGCAUAACGUCUCGUGCAUUUCGAUAAACGAGAUCAAAGCUUGCCUCUACUUGUAAGCUAGCGCCACCGGAGGGGCCCGCGCCCCAUUAGCUUGUUGGUGAGGUAAAGGCUCACCAAGGCGACGAUGGGUAGCCGGCCUGAGAGGGUGAUCGGCCACACUGGAACUGAGACACGGUCCAGACUCCUACGGGAGGCAGCAGUGAGGAAUUUUGCGCAAUGGGCGAAAGCCCGACGCAGCGACGCCGCGUGGAGGACGAAGGCCUUCGGGUCGUAAACUCCUGUCAAGCGGGACGAAAUCGGGGCGGACGAAUAGUCCGUCUCGUUGACGGUACCGCUGGAGGAAGCCCCGGCUAACUCCGUGCCAGCAGCCGCGGUAAUACGGAGGGGGCCAGCGUUGUUCGGAAUUAUUGGGCGUAAAGGGCGCGUAGGCGGCUGUGCAAGUCGGAGGUGAAAUCCCUCGGCUCAACCGAGGAACUGCCUCCGAUACUGCAUAGCUUGAGUC